rnacentral:rRNA from 1 species
GACGAACGCUGGCGGCGGGCUUAACACAUGCAAGUCGAACGGAAAGGCCCUGCUUGUGUGGGGUGCUCGAGUGGCGAACGGGUGAGUAACACGUGAGUAACCUGCCCUUGACUGUGGGAUAACUUCAGGAAACUGCGGCUAAUACCGGAUAGGAGCUCCUGCUGCAUGGUGGGGGUUGGAAAGUUUCGGCGGUGGGGGAUGGACGCGCGGCUUAUCAGCUUGUGGGUGGGGGAGUGGCUUACGAAGGCUUUGACGGGUAGCCGGCAUGAGAGGGUGAACGGCCACCUUGGGACUGAGAUACGGACCAGACUGCUAUGGGAGGCAGUAGUGGGGAAUCUUGCCCAAUGGGCGGAAGCCUGAUGCAGCAACGCCGGGUGUGGGAUGACGGCCUUCGGGUUGUAAACCGCUUUCGCCUGUGACGAAGCGUGAGUGACGGUAAUGGGUAAAGAAGCACCGGCUAACUACGUG